GACGCAGUAAUGUCUAAUUGGUAAGACGGCGGAUUGCUAAUCCGAGGAACCUCGUCUAGAACGGUGUGCAGGUUCAAGUCCUGUCUGCGUCG
rnacentral:tRNA from 1 species